GACGGAGGGUGCAAGCGUUGUUCGGAUUUACUGGGCGUAAAGGGCGCGUAGGCGGCCACCGCAAGUCACUUGUGAAAUCUCCGGGCUUAACCCGGAAAGGUCAACUGAUACUGCGGGGCUAGAGUGCAGAAGGGGCAACUGGAAUUCUCGGUGUAGCGGUGAAAUGCGUAGAUAUCGAGAGGAACACCUGCGGCGAAGGCGGGUUGCUGGGCUGACACUGACGCUGAGGCGCGAAAGCCAGGGGAGCGAACGGG
rnacentral:rRNA from 1 species